rnacentral:rRNA from 1 species
GAUGAACGCUGGCGGCGUGCCUAAUACAUGCAAGUCGAGCGAACAGACGAGGAGCUUGCUCCUCUGACGUUAGCGGCGGACGGGUGAGUAACACGUGGAUAACCUACCUAUAAGACUGGGAUAACUUCGGGAAACCGGAGCUAAUACCGGAUAAUAUAUUGAACCGCAUGGUUCAAUAGUGAAAGACGGUUUUGCUGUCACUUAUAGAUGGAUCCGCGCCGCAUUAGCUAGUUGGUAAGGUAACGGCUUACCAAGGCAACGAUGCGUAGCCGACCUGAGAGGGUGAUCGGCCACACGGGAACUGAGACACGGGCCAGACGACUACGGGAGGCAGCAGUAGGGAAUAUUACGCAAUGGGAGAAAGUAUGACGGAGCAAAGACGCGGGAGGGAUGAAGGUCUUAGGAUCGGAAAACUCUGUUAUUAGGGAAGAACAAAUGUGUAAGUAACUGUGCACGUCUUGACGGUACCUAAUCAGAAAGCAACGGCUAACUACGUG